ensembl:lncRNA
GUAGGAAACAGGGGCUGAGCACAGGGCAGCCAUUACUCAGUGACCAACUCUGAUCCCCAGAUGCUGCUGCCCUGGAUUACACUGUGGGCAACCUGGUCCGCCUCAUCUCGGCUGGGCUGGUCCUCGUCCUCCUGGGGGUCCUGCUGGCUGAGCACUGGAAAAGCUCCAGAAGACAUCCGGUCCAGGGAGUCCUUGGCUGAGCCCUCCGGCCAGAGCAGCCCCCGAGAGAAAGGAAGGAAGGAAUAAACAAAACCAUUUAAAACCAUUUAAAAAUGCAGUGAGGGCUGCCUCUGUGCCCUGUCUCUUUUAAGCACUGAAAAACAGUUAUUAAAAGACUUGGAGAUACAGACAGAAAGAUGAGAGAGAAUUUGCUGCUUCCAGCACAACCUAAGCAGAGGAGGGUCUUUUACUCUGUGGAAGGAAACCCUUGACAGAAGCCCAGGGCAGGGGAAGGGGGGAAGAUGGUGUGAAGAAUACACAAAGUCUGACUUGUUCUCUGCAAAGGAAAAUGCAAAGAAAAUGCUUCCCUCCUUCCAGAAGAGUAAGCAAAACCUUCAGAUACAGACUGACAAGAGAGGAAAAACAGCCUUCAGCUGUCCUGUGAUUCAAGGAAGUCUCCCAGCCUCACAGGGCUUGUCUAAGGCCAUGAAGAGCCAUUCAGAGCAAUGGGUGGAGGAGAAUCGGGAGACAGAGAGAAGAUGGCUACGAAGGCUGCAGCUUUGUUAAGAGCCUGGAAAACUUGGGGGUAAAAAAGAACAUUUAAGUAGCUCCAUCCGGAACUCUGGAAGACACUGUUGGGAAAAUAAAAGGCGGCUCCUGAAGCUGACCAGGGAAUCUGUCCCUGGCAAUGGGGUCUGAAUCAGGAAAAAGCAAGAGGUGAUCCACCAUUCUGACCCAGAUGACUCUCCAACCACUUCCUAGCCACAACUUGCUCCCUCCCCUGCUCCUUCCCCCACACCCACCCCACUGCAUGGCAUCAUCAAGCAGAACCCAUGAAGAGGAAGGAGAAGGGAAGCUGGUCAGAGACACUCAGGGUGGGGACACAGUGCAGAGCUGGCCCAGGUGUCAUUCUGUGCCUCAGACCAGCUCCAGGUCAGCCUCAGUCCCUUCUAACACCAGCCUCUGGGAGCACCAUGACUCCUGCCCUAGCAGUCCUGCUAUGCCUGGGGCUGUGUCUGUGCAAGAGGACAAGGACCCAGGCAGCAGGUGAGUCCUUCCUCCCCCCCCCCCAAUGCCCCUGCCCAAAGGACACAACUGCCCAGGAGAGGGACCUGGGAGAGGUCUGGGCUGGGCUGACGAUGUGGGGGCAUCAUACCUACAGAAGGUGGAUCCCCUGGAUCUAACAACUCUCCUUCCCUUCUAGACAGACUCCACAAACCCUCUCUCAGGGCAGAGAAUGGCUCUGUGGUGCCCAAGGGUGGAGCUGUGACUCUCAUGUGCAGGGGGCCAUGGGAGGCUGAAAAAUGGCUGCUGGAGAAAAAGAAUGGAUCUGGAUGGUCACGGAUCAAAUAUGUGAGACAAACUGGAAAUGAGGGCGAGUUUUCCCUCCCAUCCGUGACAUCAGAUGAUGCCGGGACCUACAAAUGCCUCUACAGACAUUCAUCCUAUGGGUGGUCACAGCACAGUGACCCCCUGGAGCUGGUGGUGACAGGUAAGGCAGAUCCUCCCCCCAGGCUGGGCCAGCUCAGGGUCUCCACAGCUCUGGGUCCCUCCCCAGCCCAGUGAGUGUCCCUCUGGCUCUGCCCUUCCUGGCUUCUCCCCUGUGCCUGCCUCAGCUCUCCCUCUGGAGUUGGCAAAAGAGGGGAGGAACCAGCAAUUCUGUACCACCUACUAUGUGCCAAACGCAUUAUCCUUGUUGUCUCAUUGGAUUCUCACAAAAGCUCUGCCAAGUCAGGACUAGUGUGAUCCCCAUUUUACAGAUGAGAAAACUGAAGCAGAGAGGAAGUGAGGUACCCAGGAUCACAUACUUGGGAGGGCUGCAUAUGAACUCAGGCCUUCCUGACUCCAGACCCAGGACUCUUUGCACUGCCCCAUGAGCUUCUUCACUCAGCUCCCACCUUGGGGUCAGGAAGAAGACAGGAGAGGCUCAGCUUGGACCUCAGGAGACCAGACAGAGCUGGGGGCUCCCUGGGGAUAGGCCAGGGCUAGUGAGGCAUCUCCCAGAGCCAGGAGAGAGCGGAGGGUGGAGCUGCUGCUGCCCAGGACCCUCUCCCAGCCCAGCCCAGGCCAGAGUGUUGAUGGGGAUCAGGAGGCACAGCUGAGCCUCUUCCUCUCCUGCUCAG